UACGUAGGGGGCGAGCGUUGUCCGGAUUUAUUGGGCGUAAAGAGCGUGUAGGCGGCCAGGUAGGUCUGCUGUGAAAACUCGAGGCUCAACCUCGAGACGUCGGCGGAAACCAUCUGGCUCGAGACCAGGAGAGGUGAGUGGAAUUCCCAGUGUAGCGGUGAAAUGCGUAGAUAUUGGGAGGAACACCAGUGGCGAAGGCGGCUCACUGGACUGGUACUGACGCUGAGACGCGAAAGCGUGGGGAGCAAACAGG
rnacentral:rRNA from 1 species